GUUGCCUUUCGCCUUGAUAACACUAUUGAAAGUAUGAAAAGAACAGUUGUGGCAAUCGUUGCAGACGAGAAAAUGAUGGUGCAGUACGUGGGUGGUGGUUGGAAUUGAAGUAUUGGCGGUGGUAUUAGUGGCAGUUGUUAUAGUUCUUGUAGAAGUUGCGGCAAUAUGAUGGCAGCCAUGGUGCAGCGGCAAUGGACUGGCUCUGGUAGUGAGGGGGUGGAAGUGGCUUACUGUUGGUGGCAGUGGUGAUGAUGGUGGUACGGUAGUGGAUGCAUAUACUGAAAAAGUGGAUGUCAUUGAAAAUAUUUAAAGCAAUUUUAAAAGCUUAACUAAUUGAGACAAUUUGGAAACUCAGAAAAGUAAAUUAUUUCAAAUCAUUCAACUAGCUUUGUGAUUAUUACUGAAAAUUUCCUAUGUACAAUAUUGAAAUUACAGUAGACUCUUCUUCCGUCGCUCUGUUGUUUAAUAUGAGCAACUCUUAGUCACCAAAACCAAAUUCCCCUCCACUCCCUUAACUGAAAAACAAUAAAAGGGAGAGAAUUGAAGAGCCAAAAACAAAGAGAGAAUAAAAAAGACAAAGGAUAGUUUUUAGUUUUCAAAAAUAGAAAUAAGAUCUUUGAACCCCUUUGGGAAAGUACGUGGAGUUAGAGGCAGCAGUGGCCGCUGCAGCAGCAGUAGCAGCACUAGUGGUAGCAGAAGAAGUAGGUGUUCUAGGAGAAGCAGCAAUAGAAUUGCUUGGGCUAACAUCUCUCUCCUCUUCAUUAAUUGUAUCCAACAUCUUUGAUGCUCUAUGCCUUAUGACAGUAACGUAUUGUGGAGGUGCAACCUCUAUAAUGAACUUUGCAAUGCGUGAAUUGGCCAUUGUUUUCAAGUACUUGGUAGGCUCAAGAGCUUAGAAAGAGAAAAAAAGAUGAAAGAUAAGAACCCAGGAAGAACACGGUUUGUAGGGAAAAGGCUUGGUU
rnacentral:misc_RNA from 1 species